rnacentral:tRNA from 1 species
GGGGGUAUAGCUCAGGGGUAGAGCAUUUGACUGCAGAUAAAGAGGUCCCUGGUUCAAAUUCGGGUGCCCUCU